rnacentral:rRNA from 1 species
GAUGAACGCUGGCGGCGUGCCUAAUACAUGCAAGUCGAGCGAACAGAUAAGGAGCUUGCUCCUUUGACGUUAGCGGCGGACGGGUGAGUAACACGUGGGUAACCUACCUAUAAGACUGGGAUAACUUCGGGAAACCGGAGCUAAUACCGGAUAACAUUUGGAACCGCAUGGUUCUAAAGUGAAAGAUGGUUUUGCUAUCACUUAUAGAUGGACCCGCGCCGUAUUAGCUAGUUGGUAAGGUAACGGCUUACCAAGGCAACGAUACGUAGCCGACCUGAGAGGGUGAUCGGCCACACUGGAAAUGAGACACGGCCCAGACCCCUACGGGAGGAAGAAGGGGGGAAUCUGCCGCAAUGGGCAAAAGCCUGACGGGGCAACGCCGGGGGAGUGAGGAAGGGUUUCGGCUCGUAAAACUCUGUUAUUAGGGAAAAAAAAAGGGGAAAGUAACGGGCAACGUCUUGAGGGUACUAAAUCAAAAAGCCACGGAAAACUACGU